UACGUAGGGUGCGAGCGUUGUCCGGAAUUACUGGGCGUAAAGCGCACGUAGGCGGAUUGUUAAGUCGGGGGUGAAAUCCUGGAGCUCAACUCCAGAACUGCCUUCGAAACUGGCGAUCUUGAGUCCGGGAGAGGUGAGUGGAACUGCGAGUGUAGAGGUGAAAUUCGUAGAUAUUCGGAAGAACACCCGUGGCGAAGGCGGUUCUCUGGGACGGUACUGACGCUGAGACGCGAAAGCGUGGGGAGCGAACAGG
rnacentral:rRNA from 1 species